AACUUUUUAGUAUAUUAAGUACCUCCUCCUUCCAAGUGGAAAGUCUAAAUAAAUUUAGAGAAGUUA
rnacentral:tRNA from 1 species